GGUAACAGUGCUUGAAAUCGCUGAAAAGAAAGUGAGCGAAACCAGCGUGUCUUGGUGAGAUUGCUGUGCUCAGGUGCCAUUGCUUACUGCGCCAGCACGCGUGUGGCAGUAAGUCUUGCGCAGGCUGCGUGUGGUGCGUUUUGCCUUGCCUGUCAACGUCUCCUAUGUUUGAGGAAGACUGCAAGGACAUGGCAGCUCCCCCCAAGGGGGUGAAUAUCUUUGUAUGUACUUAUGCGAGGGGUGCUCGGGAGUAAAUGGCAGCGCUCGACCCGUCUUGAAACACGGACCAAGGAGUCUAACCUGUACGCAAGUUUGAGGGUGGAGAAGGCCUGUGUGCGCAAUGAAAGUGACUGCUGGGAUUUUUUGCACCAGCCACCGACCUAUCAAUUGAGAGAGGUUUGAGUGCGAGCAUAUUUGUUAGGACCCGAAAGAUGGUGAACUACGCCUGUGAAGGGCAAGCUCAGGGGAAACUCUGAUGGAGGCCCAUAGCGAUACUGACGUGCAAAUCGUUCGUCAUACAUGGGUAUAGGGGCGAAAGACUAAUCGAACCAUCUAGUAGCUGGUUCCCUCCGAAGUUUCCCUCAGGAUAGCUGGAGUUGAUCAGUUUUAUCAGGUAAAGCCAAUGACUAGAGGAAUUGGGGACACCUUGUCUUUGACCUAUUCUCAAACUUUAAAUGGGUAGGAUCCAGUGGUUACUUUGAUGAACUUCCGGGAUCAAUGACAACUCGAAGUGGGCCAUUUUUGGUAAGCAGAACUGGCGAUGAGGGAUGAACCUAACAUUGGGUCAAGGUGCUCAACUGCUCGCUCAUCAGAUACCAUAAAGGGUGUUGGUUCAUUUUAACA
rnacentral:rRNA from 1 species